UUUAGAUUACUGUUAAGCGGUAGACUGUACGGCUAAGGACGAUAACGUUAACGGACCUACACUGAAAGAAUGACUCGACCUAGCUACACUGAAGGAAUAGAACAGUGGCUAAGAUGUUGAUAAAGGUAAAAUGCAGAGGGACAAUGAAAUAUGUUAAAAUGGAAGAAGUCAGCUUCUCAGACUUUAUCAGUGCAGUGCAGCAGAAGUUUCUCAUACCAGAAAGUACACCGCUAAAAGUCACAGAUGAGCAGGGCAUAGAGGUGGAUGACAAUGUCUUUCCAGAACUUGCAACAGCC